AGCAAGUUGCUAGAGUGGCCUGCCACAGUGUAAGUUUUGUUCUUUAGCUCUUUGCAAUAAAUCUUGCUACUGCCCACUCUUUGGGUUUACACUGCAUUUAUGAGCUGUAACACUCAUGGUGAAGAUUUACAGGUUCAGUCCUGAAGCCAGCGAGACAAAGAACCCACUGGGAAGAACAAACAACUCCAGACGCCCCAACUUAAGAGCUGUUAACACCCGAAGAUCUGCAGCUUCACUUUUGAGCCAGCGAGACCACGAACCCACCAGAAGGAAGAAACUCUGAACAGGCUGGAACGUCAGAAGGAACAAACUCAGGACAUGCCACCUUUAAGAACUGUAACACUCACUGUGAGGGUCUGCGGCUUCAUUCUUGAAGGCUGUGAGACCAAGAACCCACCAAUUUCGGACACACUGGGACCACCCUCGCUGACUGGAGGUGGGGAAACACAGCAUCCCCAGGACGGCACAUGAGGAAGAGGGAGGCGACAUGCGAGUGCUGAGGAG
rnacentral:lncRNA from 10 species